GAUGAAGAACGCAGUGAAAUGCGAUACGUAAUGUGAAUUGCAGAAUUCAGUGAAUCAUCGAGUCUUUGAACGCACAUUGCGCCCCCUGGUAUUCCGGGGGGCAUGUCUGUCCGAGCGUCAUUGCUGCCCUCAAGCACGGCUUGUGUGUUGGGCCUCCGUCCUCCUCCCGGGGGACGGGCCCGAAAGGCAGCGGCGGCACCGCGUCCGGUCCUCGAGCGUAUGGGGCUUCGUCACCCGCUCUUGUAGGCCCGGCCGGCGCUUGCCGACACAUCAAUCUUUUUUCCAGGUUGACCUCGGAUCAGGUAGGACUACCCGCUGAACUUAAGCAUAUCAAUAAGCGGAGGA
rnacentral:misc_RNA from 1 species